rnacentral:rRNA from 1 species
GUAGCUGGUCUGAGAGGAUGAUCAGCCACAUCGGGACUGAGACACGGCCCGAACUCCUACGGGAGGCAGCAGUGGGGAAUAUUGGACAAUGGGGGCAACCCUGAUCCAGCCAUGCCGCGUGUGUGAAGAAAGCCUUCGGGUUGUAAAGCACUUUCAGCGAGGAAGAACGCCUGGUGGUUAAUACCCAUUAGGAAAGACAUCACUCGCAGAGAAAGCACCGGCUAACUCCGUGCCAGCAGCCGCGGUAAUACGGAGGGUGCAAGCGUUAAUCGGAAUUACUGGGCGUAAAGCGCGCGUAGGUGGCUUGAUAAGCCGGUUGUGAAAGCCCCGGGCUCAACCUGGGAACGGCAUCCGGAACUGUCAGGCUAUAGUGCAGGAGAGGAAGGUAGAAUUCCCGGUGUAGCGGUGAAAUGCGUAGAGAUCGGGAGGAAUACCAGUGGCGAAGGCGGCCUUCUGGACUGACACUGACACUGAGGUGCGACAACGUGGGGUAGCAAACAGGAUUAUAUACCCUGGUAGUCCACGCCGUAAACGAUGUUCGACCAACCCGUUGGGUGGCCUAACUGCACUUUUUUGGCGAAAUUUAACGCCGAUAAAUUCGAACCGCCCUGGGGGAGUAACGGCCCGC